GAAAGGUCACUGGCUCAUAAGAGGAACAGGAUGCAGACUGCAGACUUCUGACUCUCAGCUAGCGUCCCUGCUCAUUCCCAAGGAAAUGGAAAGACACAAUGCUACUGUUAUUUGAAUGUUUAGGAGAAGGGUGGGUGGUGGUAAAAGGAAAUGUCUCACAAGCCCCACUGGCACUUGAUUUGUUGAAACUGUAAUAAUCACACUAUUAAUGGGUCUCUUUGGAAUAAUGCUUUUAGGAGGGCUUUUAUUGGCAUUAUUUGUUUGACAAAAUAACAUUGUGCACUUGAUGUCAUUAAACCCAUUUUACAGAUUGAGAA
rnacentral:lncRNA from 1 species